GAUGAACGCUGGCGGCGUGCUUAACACAUGCAAGUCGAACGAUGAAAGCGGGAGCUUGCUCCUGCUGGAUUAGUGGCGAACGGGUGAGUAACACGUGAGCAAUCUGCCCCGAACUCUGGGAUAAGCGUUGGAAACGACGUCUAAUACCGGAUACGACGCGCGAAGGCAUCUUCUGCGCGUGGAAAGAACUUCGGUUCGGGAUGAGCUCGCGGCCUAUCAGCUAGUUGGUGAGGUAACGGCCCACCAAGGCGACGACGGGUAGCCGGCCUGAGAGGGUGACCGGCCACACUGGGACUGAGACACGGCCCAGACUCCUACGGGAGGCAGCAGUGGGGAAUCCUCCACAAUGGGCGAAAGCCUGAUGGAGCAAUGCCGCGUGCAGGAUGACGGCCUUCGGGUUGUAAACUGCUUUUAUAUGGGAAGAUUAUGACGGUACCAUAUGAAUAAGGACCGGCUAACUACGUGCCAGCCGCCGCCGUAACAC
rnacentral:rRNA from 1 species